CAAAAGGGCGCUCGUCUUGUCCACGUUCCUUCUAAUGGAAUGACGUACAGACGCACUGCGCCGUUGAAUUGCUUUCGAGCGGGGCGUGCUCUUAUUGCCGCUCUUAUUAGUUUCCAACGAGCCCAGUGGUGUAUGGCUUUGCAUAUGCAGCGUGUAAUUUUUGGAAUGGGGUCAGUUGUACACUAUGGCUGU
rfam:Drosophila busckii chromosome 3L sequence.